rnacentral:rRNA from 1 species
CACGUACCGGACAAACGUUAUUCGGAAUUACUGGGCUUAAAGAGUACGUAGGCGGUCUGGUAGGUGGGGUGUGAAAGCCCACGGCUCAACCGUGGAAUUGCGCUCCAAACCAUCAGACUUGAGGGAGACAGGGGUGAGCGGAACAAAUGGUGGAGCGGUGAAAUGCGUUGAUAUCAUUUGGAACACCGGUGGCGAAAGCACUUUACUGGGCUAUUACUAACACUCAGAGACGAAAGCUAGGGUAGCAGAUGGG